rnacentral:tRNA from 1 species
GGGCCUGUGGCGCAGCUGGGAGCGCGCCUGCAUGGCAUGCAGGAGGUCACGGGUUCAAAUCCCGUCAGGUCCACCA